AACGAACGCUGGCGGCAUGCCUAACACAUGCAAGUCGAACGAGACCUUCGGGUCUAGUGGCGCACGGGUGCGUAACGCGUGGGAACCUGCCCUUAGGUUCGGAAUAACUCCCCGAAAGGGGUGCUAAUACCGGAUAAUGUCUUCGGACCAAAGAUUUAUCGCCUUUGGAUGGGCCCGCGUUGGAUUAGCUAGUUGGUAGGGUAAAAGCCUAACAAGGCGACGAUCCAUAGCUGGUCUGAGAGGAUGAUCAGCCACACUGGGACUGAGACACGGCCCAGACUACUACGGGAGGAAGCAGUGGGGAAUAUUGGAAAAUGGGCGAAAGCCUGAUCCAGCAAUGCCGCGUGAGUGAUGAAGGCCUUAGGGUUGUAAAGCUCUUUUACCCGGGAUGAUAAUGACAGUACCGGGAGAAUAAGCUCCGGCUAACUACGUG
rnacentral:rRNA from 1 species